UGGGGAAUAUUGGACAAUGGGCGAAAGCCUGAUCCAGCAAUGCCGCGUGUGUGAAGAAGGCCUGCGGGUUGUAAAGCACUUUCAGUGGGGAAGAAAAGCUUUCCGUUAAUAGCGGAGAGUCUUGACGUUACCCACAGAAGAAGCACCGGCUAACUCCGUGCCAGCAGCCGCGGUAAUACGGAGGGUGCGAGCGUUAAUCGGAAUCACUGGGCGUAAAGCGCGCGUAGGCGGUCUGGUAAGUCGGAUGUGAAAGCCCCGGGCUUAACCUGGGAAUUGCAUUCGAUACUGUCAGACUAGAGUUUGGUAGAGGGGAGCGGAAUUCCACGUGUAGCGGUGAAAUGCGUAGAUAUGUGGAGGAACACCAGUGGCGAAGGCGGCUCCCUGGACCAAAACUGACGCUGAGGUGCGAAAGCGUGGGUAGCAAACA
rnacentral:rRNA from 1 species